UACAGAGGUCCCAGGCGUUGUUCGGAUUCAUUGGGCGUAAAGGGUGCGUAGGCGGCGCGGUAAGUCGGGUGUGAAAUCUCGGAGCUUAACUCCGAAACUGCAUUCGAUACUGCCGUGCUUGAGGACUGGAGAGGAGACUGGAAUUUACGGUGUAGCGGUGAAAUGCGUAGAUAUCGUAAGGAAGACCAGUGGCGAAGGCGGGUCUCUGGACAGUUCCUGACGCUGAGGCACGAAGGUCAGGGGAGCAAACGGG
rnacentral:rRNA from 1 species